GCAUGGGUGGCUCAGUUGGUUAAGCAUCUGACUUCUGAUCAGGUCAUAAUCUCAUGGGUUGUGAGUUUGAAUCCCACAUCAGGCU
rnacentral:tRNA from 1 species